GUGAGUGUAGCUCAGUAGGUAGAGCGCAGGAUUGUGGUUCCUGUGGUCGGGGGUUCAAAUCCCCUCACUCACC
rnacentral:tRNA from 1 species